AAAGUUAAAUUUAUGAUACUAGUCUCAUAUAUAUAUAUACAGCUUUUUUACUAAUUUUCUUGAGGAUAAGCUCAAGAAAAAAUUAAGAUAUUUUUAAUUAAAAAAUUACUGUGUAGGCUUAAAAUUGGUCACCACAAAAGUUUGUUAUAAAAUAUUGGUUUUAACUUAAAAAAUAAAUAUAUUUUAAUCUAAUUUUUUACGAGAAUAAAAGUUUUAAUUGAUAUAAGCUUUAUGCCUAUGCUAGGAUGAGUAUUAUAAACCUGAUUUUUAAAAGAAAUUUAUUCAUAUUUUUUCUUAAAAACCCGAAUUUAGAAAAAUUAAUUAAUUAAAAGGAACUCGGCAAAUUCUGCUGCUCCGCCUGUUUAUCAAAAACAUGGCUCUUUGUUAACUUAAAUAUAAAGAGUCGAGCCUGCCCAGUGAAUUUUCAACGGCCGCGGUACCCUAACCGUGCAAAGGUAGCAUAAUCACUUGCCUUAUAAUUGAAGGCUAGAAUGAAUGGUCUAACGAGAGUGGCACUGUCUCUUUUUUAUUUUCAAGAACUUAACUUUUAGGUGAAGAGGCCUAAAUUUUAUUGAAGGACAAGAAGACCCUGUCGAGCUUAAAAGACAUUAUAGAUGCUUAUAAUAUAUUUUUAAAUAAAUUUCUAUUAAGCUUUUUAGUUGGGGCGACUAAGGAACAAGAAAAGCUUCUUUAAAAAAAUAAAUAAUCAUAUUUAGAUCCGAUAAUAAUCGAUUAAAGAAAUUAGUUACCGCAGGGAUAACAGCAUAAUCUCUCUUGAGAGACCUAAUCGAAAGAGGGGGUUGUGACCUCGAUGUUGGACUAGAAUAUCCUAAAGAUGCAGAAUCUUUGAGG
rnacentral:rRNA from 1 species